GGCCCCAUCGUCUAGAGGCCUAGGACAGGUGGUUCUCAGCCAUCAGACACGGGUUCGAAUCCCGUUGGGGCUA
rnacentral:tRNA from 1 species